AUGGACGACGUGAACAUUGCCUUUAAAUACCCUCUGAAGCUCACACCACUGCUGGACAUGGCUGACCAGCAAUGCAUGGUGUACUUCCCACGGCUGAAGACUGCAGAAAAUGCCAACAUCCAACCCAGGCCUCAUCCUGUGAGCCGAGCCCACCGUCACCAACAUCCUCAAGACAGUGGACGUAGACCACUCCCAAGUCUCCAGGGGGCUUGCUGGUUGUGCCGUGACACAUGCUGUCUGGAAAAAGCCUGGACCCCCUCCUGGCUGCAUAUCGCGGCCACGGGAAAACUCACAUCCUUUGCCCGGAUGUUCAUCAAGCUGAAUGAGUUUCUGAAGCACUUCAGUGGAGAAGGAUACGGCCUCGGUGCGAGCCCUGCUGUUCGACAUAUCCUUCCUCAUGCAGUGUCACGGGUUGCAGACCUAUGGAUCAGAAGUUGGUCUCACACCUAG
rnacentral:lncRNA from 1 species